rnacentral:rRNA from 1 species
CGGAAGGUCCGGCGUUAUCCGGAUUUAUUGGGUUUAAGGGAGCGCAGGCCGCAGGUUAAGCGUGUUGUGAAAUGCAGGGGCCCAACCUCUGCACUGCAGCGCGAACUGGUCUGCUUGAGUGCGCGCAACGUCAGCGGAAUUUGUCGUGUAGCGGUGAAAUGCUUAGAUAUGACGAAGAACUCCGAUUGCGAAGGCAGCUGACGGGAGCGCAACUGACGCUGAGGCUCGAAAGUGCGGGUAUCGAACAGGAUU